rnacentral:rRNA from 1 species
GGUUAAGCGACUAAGCGUACACGGUGGAUGCCCUGGCAGUCAGAGGCGAUGAAGGACGUGCUAAUCUGCGAAAAGCGUCGGUAAGGUGAUAUGAACCGUUAUAACCGGCGAUGUCCGAAUGGGGAAACCCAGUGCAAUUCGUUGCACUAUCGUUAACUGAAUACAUAGGUUAACGAGGCGAACCGGGGGAACUGAAACAUCUAAGUACCCCGAGGAAAAGAAAUCAACCGAGAUUCCCCCAGUAGCGGCGAGCGAACGGGGAGCAGCCCAGAGUCUGAAUCAGCUUGUGUGUUAGUGGAACGGUCUGGAAAGUCCGACGGUACAGGGUGAUAGUCCCGUACACCAAAAUGCACAGGCUGUGAACUCGAAGAGUAGGGCGGGACACGUGGUAUCCUGUCUGAAUAUGGGGGGACCAUCCUCCAAGGCUAAAUACUCCUGACUGACCGAUAGUGAACCAGUACCGUGAGGGAAAGGCGAAAAGAACCCCGGCGAGGGGAGUGAAAAAGAACCUGAAACCGUGUACGUACAAGCAGUGGGAGCACCUUCGGGUGUGACUGCGUACCUUUUGUAUAAUGGGUCAGCGACUUAUAUUCUGUAGCAAGGUUAACCGUAUAGGGGAGCCGCAGGGAAACCGAGUCUUAACUGGGCGUUAAGUUGCAGGGUAUAGACCCGAAACCCGGUGAUCUAGCCAUGGGCAGGUUGAAGGUUGGGUAACACUAACUGGAGGACCGAACCGACUAAUGUUGAAAAAUUAGCGGAUGACUUGUGGCUGGGGGUGAAAGGCCAAUCAAACCGGGAGAUAGCUGGUUCUCCCCGAAAGCUAUUUAGGUAGCGCCUCGUGAACUCAUCUUCGGGGGUAGAGCACUGUUUCGGCUAGGGGGUCAUCCCGACUUACCAACCCGAUGCAAACUACGAAUACCGAAGAAUGUUAUCACGGGAGACACACGGCGGGUGCUAACGUCCGUCGUGAAGAGGGAAACAACCCAGACCGCCAGCUAAGGUCCCAAAGUCAUGGUUAAGUGGGAAACGAUGUGGGAAGGCACAGACAGCCAGGAUGUUGGCUUAGAAGCAGCCAUCAUUUAAAGAAAGCGUAAUAGCUCACUGGUCGAGUCGGCCUGCGCGGAAGAUGUAACGGGGCUAAACCAUGCACCGAAGCUGCGGCAGCGACACUAUGUGUUGUUGGGUAGGGGAGCGUUCUGUAAGCCUGCGAAGGUGGCCUGUGAGGGUUGCUGGAGGUAUCAGAAGUGCGAAUGCUGACAUAAGUAACGAUAAAGCGGGUGAAAAGCCCGCUCGCCGGAAGACCAAGGGUUCCUGUCCAACGUUAAUCGGGGCAGGGUGAGUCGACCCCUAAGGCGAGGCCGAAAGGCGUAGUCGAUGGGAAACAGGUUAAUAUUCCUGUACUUGGUGUUACUGCGAAGGGGGGACGGAGAAGGCUAUGUUAGCCGGGCGACGGUUGUCCCGGUUUAAGCAUGUAGGCUGGUUAUCCAGGCAAAUCCGGAUAAUCAAGGCUGAGGUGUGAUGACGAGGUACUACGGUGCUGAAGUAACAAAUGCCCUGCUUCCAGGAAAAGCCUCUAAGCAUCAGGUAACAUCAAAUCGUACCCCAAACCGACACAGGUGGUCAGGUAGAGAAUACCAAGGCGCUUGAGAGAACUCGGGUGAAGGAACUAGGCAAAAUGGUGCCGUAACUUCGGGAGAAGGCACGCUGGUGUGUAGGUGAAGUCCCUGCGGAUGGAGCUGAGACCAGUCGAAGAUACCAGCUGGCUGCAACUGUUUAUUAAAAACACAGCACUGUGCAAACACGAAAGUGGACGUAUACGGUGUGACGCCUGCCCGGUGCCGGAAGGUUAAUUGAUGGGGUUAUCCGUAAGGAGAAGCUCUUGAUCGAAGCCCCGGUAAACGGCGGCCGUAACUAUAACGGUCCUAAGGUAGCGAAAUUCCUUGUCGGGUAAGUUCCGACCUGCACGAAUGGCGUAAUGAUGGCCAGGCUGUCUCCACCCGAGACUCAGUGAAAUUGAACUCGCUGUGAAGAUGCAGUGUACCCGCGGCAAGACGGAAAGACCCCGUGAACCUUUACUAUAGCUUGACACUGAACAUUGAGCCUUGAUGUGUAGGAUAGGUGGGAGGCUUUGAAGCGUGGACGCCAGUCUGCGUGGAGCCAACCUUGAAAUACCACCCUUUAAUGUUUGAUGUUCUAACGUUGGCCCCUUAUCGGGGUUGCGGACAGUGUCUGGUGGGUAGUUUGACUGGGGCGGUCUCCUCCCAAAGCGUAACGGAGGAGCACGAAGGUUAGCUAAUCCUGGUCGGACAUCAGGAGGUUAGUGCAAUGGCAUAAGCUAGCUUGACUGCGAGCGUGACGGCGCGAGCAGGUGCGAAAGCAGGUCAUAGUGAUCCGGUGGUUCUGAAUGGAAGGGCCAUCGCUCAACGGAUAAAAGGUACUCCGGGGAUAACAGGCUGAUACCGCCCAAGAGUUCAUAUCGACGGCGGUGUUUGGCACCUCGAUGUCGGCUCAUCACAUCCUGGGGCUGAAGUAGGUCCCAAGGGUAUGGCUGUUCGCCAUUUAAAGUGGUACGCGAGCUGGGUUUAGAACGUCGUGAGACAGUUCGGUCCCUAUCUGCCGUGGGCGCUGGAGAAUUGAGGGGGGCUGCUCCUAGUACGAGAGGACCGGAGUGGACGCAUCACUGGUGUUCGGGUUGUCAUGCCAAUGGCACUGCCCGGUAGCUAAAUGCGGAAGAGAUAAGUGCUGAAAGCAUCUAAGCACGAAACUUGCCCCGAGAUGAGUUCUCCCUGAGACUUUAAGUCUCCUGAAGGAACGUUGAAGACGACGACGUUGAUAGGCCGGGUGUGUAAGCGCAGCGAUGCGUUGAGCUAACCGGUACUAAUGAACCGUGAGGCUUAACCUU